UGGUAGUGGGGGAUAACGCUCGGAAACGGACGCUAAUACCGCAUACGUCCUACGGGAGAAAGCAGGGGACCUUCGGGCCUUGCGCUAUCAGAUGAGCCUAGGUCGGAUUAGCUAGUUGGUGAGGUAAUGGCUCACCAAGGCGACGAUCCGUAACUGGUCUGAGAGGAUGAUCAGUCACACUGGAACUGAGACACGGUCCAGACUCCUACGGGAGGCAGCAGUGGGGAAUAUUGGACAAUGGGCGAAAGCCUGAUCCAGCCAUGCCGCGUGUGUGAAGAAGGUCUUCGGAUUGUAAAGCACUUUAAGUUGGGAGGAAGGGCAGUUACCUAAUACGUGAUUGUUUUGACGUUACCGACAGAAUAAGCACCGGCUAACUCUGUGCCAGCA
rnacentral:rRNA from 1 species